AGUCUGAUGGAGCAACGCCGCGUGAGUGAAGAAGGGUUUCGGCUCGUAAAGCUCUGUUGGUAGUGAAGAAAGAUAGAGGUAGUAACUGGCCUUUAUUUGACGGUAAUUACUUAGAAAGUCACGGCUAACUACGUGCCAGCAGCCGCGGUAAUACGUAGGUGGCAAGCGUUGUCCGGAUUUAUUGGGCGUAAAGGGAGUGCAGGCGGUUCAAUAAGUCUGAUGUGAAAGCCUUCGGCUCAACCGGAGAAUUGCAUCAGAAACUGUUGAACUUGAGUGCAGAAGAGGAGAGUGGAACUCCAUGUGUAGCGGUGGAAUGCGUAGAUAUAUGGAAGAACACCAGUGGCGAAGGCGGCUCUCUGGUCUGCAACUGACGCUGAGGCUCGAAAGCAUGGGUAGCGAACAGGAUUAGAUACCCUGGUAGUCCAUGCCGUAAACGAUGAGUGCUAAGUGUUGGGAGGUUUCCGCCUCUCAGUGCUGCAGCUAACGCAUUAAGCACUCCGCCUGGGGAGUACGACCGCAAGGUUGAAACUCAAAGGAAUUGACGGGGGCCCGCACAAGCGGUGGAGCAUGUGGUUUAAUUCGAAGCAACGCGAAGAACCUUACCAGGUCUUGACAUCCAGUGCAAACCUAAGAGAU
rnacentral:rRNA from 1 species